rnacentral:tRNA from 1 species
GGGGGUAAAGCUCAAUGGUAAAGCGCAUGCUUAGCAUUCAUGAGGUCCUGGCUUCAAUCCCCAGUAUCUCCA